rnacentral:rRNA from 1 species
GUGGAUUAGAUACCCUGGUAGUCCACGCCGUAAACUAUGUCUACUAGCCGUUGGGAGACUUGAUCUUUUAGUGGCGCAGCUAACGCGAUAAGUAGACCGCCUGGGGAGUACGGUCGCAAGACUAAAACUCAAAUGAAUUGACGGGGGCCCGCACAAGCGGUGGAGCAUGUGGUUUAAUUCGAUGCAACGCGAAGAACCUUACCUGGUCUUGACAUCCUGCGAACCUUUCAGAGAUGAGAGGGUGCCUUCGGGAGCGCAGAGACAGGUGCUGCACGGCUGUCGACAACU